ensembl:lncRNA
CCAGCUUGCCGGUUGUUCUGUACUGUAACUGAGGGAGAGCGGAGAAAAUAAAUAUCAGCACACACACAAACACGAACGAGCGGAGACGCACACACGUGCAUCUUGUUAAGCAAAGACAUCCAAAACAUCAGAACUUUUGGUGCUGUCUCUUUUGGCCGAGGAGUGCUGUUUCACUGGUUAAAGGUAGCCUGUGGAUAUGUUCUGAGUGGAGCAGCUCAAAGGUCUGAGAGGCAAACGCUGGGCUGCUAUUAGCGUGCCCUUUGCUAGCUGGCGGGGAGGCCCCUGAACAUGUUCCAGGCUGACCUACAUGCUGAGAGCCGCACCCCGACACAAAGGAGGGCAUCGCGUCCCCCAGCCCGCUCCUCCAAGCCCGUCUGAGGACAGGAGGAACAAUGAGCAGACAACAGAAUCAUCAACAGGCUCUCUCUCACGGCCUGCUGGCUCUGCCCACUUCUGGCCUGGGGUCCUUAGCCUCAAAGGGGUGGCUCCUUAAUUGCCUGCAUGGUAAAAAAAAACGUAUUUUCUGCAGUAUGAAGGC